AGUGAACGCUGGCGGUAGGCCUAACACAUGCAAGUCGAACGGCAGCACAGUAAGAGCUUGCUCUUACGGGUGGCGAGUGGCGGACGGGUGAGGCAUACAUCGGAAUCUACUUUUUCGUGGGGGAUAACGUAGGACAACUUACGCUAAUACCGCAUACGAUCUACGGGUGAAAGCAGGGGAUCUUCGCACCUUGCGCGAUUGAAUGAGCCGAUGUCGGAUUAGCUAGUUGGCGGGGUAAAGGCCCACCAAGGCGACGAUCCGUAGCUGGUCUGAGAGGAUGAUCAGCCACACUGGAACUGAGACACGGUCCAGACUCCUACGGGAGGCAGCAGUGGGGAAUAUUGGACAAUGGGCGCAAGCCUGAUCCAGCCAUACCGCGUGGGUGAAGAAGGCCUUCGGAUUGUAAAGCCCUUUUGUUGGGAAAGAAAAGCAGCAGGUUAAUACCCCGCUGUUCUGACGGUACCCAAAGAAUAAGCACCGGCUAACUUCGUG
rnacentral:rRNA from 1 species